GCCAGCCGCCGCGGGAACACCGGCGGCCCGAGUGGUGAUCGUGAUUAUUGGGUCUAAAGGGUCCGUAGCCGGUUUGGUCAGUCCUCCGGGAAAUCUGAUAGCUCAACUAUUAGGCUUUCGGGGGAUACUGCCAGACUUGGAACCGGGAGAGGUAAGAGGUACUACAGGGGUAGGAGUGAAAUCUUGUAAUCCCUGUGGGACCACCUGUGGCGAAGGCGUCUUACCAGAACGGGUUCGACGGUGAGGGACGAAAGCUGGGGGCACGAACCGGAUUAGAUACCCGGGUAGUCCCAGCCGUAAACGAUGCUCGCUAGGUGUCAGGCAUGGCGCGACCGUGUCUGGUGCCGCAGGGAAGCCGUGAAGCGAGCCACCUGGGAAGUACGGCCGCAAGGCUGAAGCUUAAAGGAAUUGGCGGGGGAGCACAACAACGGGUGGAAGCCUGCGGUUUAAUUGGACUCAACGCCGGACAACUCACCGGGGGCGACAGCAAUAUGUAGGCCAAGCUGAAGACUUUGCCUGAAUCGCUGAGGGGUGGUGCAUGG
rnacentral:rRNA from 1 species